rnacentral:rRNA from 1 species
GACGAACGCUGGCGGCGUGCUUAACACAUGCAAGUCGAACGGAAAGGCCCUGCUUUUGUGGGGUGCUCGAGUGGCGAACGGGUGAGUAACACGUGAGUAACCUGCCCUUGACCUUGGGAUAACUUCAGGAAACUGGGGCUAAUACCGGAUAGGAGCUCCUGCUGCAUGGUGGGGGUUGGAAAGUUUCGGCGGUUGGGGAUGGACUCGCGGCUUAUCAGCUUGUUGGUGGGGUAGUGGCUUACCAAGGCUUUGACGGGUAGCCGGCCUGAGAGGGUGACCGGCCACAUUGGGACUGAGAUACGGCCCAGACUCCUACGGGAGGCAGCAGUGGGGAAUAUUGCACAAUGGGCGGAAGCCUGAUGCAGCAACGCCGCGUGCGGGAUGACGGCCUUCGGGUUGUAAACCACUUUCGCCUGUGACGAAGCGUGAGUGACGGUAAUGGGUAAAGAAGCACCGGCUAACUACGUG